ACCAAAAACAUCGCCUCUUGAACUAAUAUAAGAGGUCCAGCCUGCCCAGUGACUUUUGUUUAACGGCCGCGGUAUCCUAACCGUGCGAAGGUAGCGUAAUCACUUGUUCUUUAAAUAAGGACUAGUAUGAAUGGCAUCACGAGGGUUAUACUGUCUCCUCUUUCUAAUCAGUGAAACUAAUCUCCCCGUGAAGAAGCGGGGGUAAUAAUAUAAGACGAGAAGACCCUAUGGAGCUUUAAACUAAACAACACUUGCUUUACCAAAUUUUAAAUUUCAGAAGAAAAACUCAUUUAACAAGAUGAUUGUAAGUUUUAGGUUGGGGUGACCAUGGAGUAAAAAUUAACCUCCAUGCUGGAAUAACAUUUAAUGUUUUAUCCACGAGCUACUGCUCUAAGCAUCAACAUAUUGACAUCUAUUGACCCAAUUAUUGAUCAACGAACCAAGUUACCCUAGGGAUAACAGCGCAAUCCACUUCAAGAGCUCAUAUCGACAAGUGGGUUUACGACCUCGAUGUUGGAUCAGGGUAUCCCAGUGGUGCAGCCGCUACUAAAGGUUCGUUUGUUCAACGAUUAAAACCCUACGUGAUCUGAGUUCA
rnacentral:rRNA from 1 species